AUGCCCUUAUGUUCUGGGCUACACACGUGCUACAAUGGCCGGUACAGACGGACGCAAAGCCGCGAGGUGGAGCAAAUCCUAAAAAGGCCGGUCUCAGUUCGGAAUUGCAGGCUGCGAAUUCGCCUGCAUGAAGUCGGAAUCGCUAGUAAUCGCAGGUCAGCAUACUGCGGUGAAUACGUUCCCGGGCCUU
rnacentral:rRNA from 1 species